GGCAGGUAGCUCAGUGGUACGAGCGUCCGCCUGAAACGCGGAAGGUCGCCGGUGUCGAUCCCGGCUCUGGCCACCA
rnacentral:tRNA from 1 species